UACGUAGGGGGCAAGCGUUGUCCGGAUUUAUUGGGCGUAAAGCGCGUGUAGGCGGCUUGGUAGGUCAGCUGUGAAACUCGAGGCUCAACCUCGAGCUGUCGGUUGAAACCACCUUGCUAGAGUCCGGAAGAGGGGAGUGGAAUUCCUGGUGUAGCGGUGAAAUGCGCAGAUAUCAGGAGGAACACCGGUGGCGAAGGCGGUUCUCUGGGCAUUACCUGACGCUGAGGAGCGAAAGUGUGGGGAGCGAACAGG
rnacentral:rRNA from 1 species